rnacentral:lncRNA from 1 species
CUUCUUGCCGUAUGAGUUUCUGUUCCCUUGUUGGGACCAGAAGAGCGAGUGAGGGCGUGAACGGAGGUUUUCGUUUCUGAAACGGUCCCCAGGUGCUGUCUUUUAAGGACAGAAACUUGCGACUCUCUCUUCAUUAUAGAAUCACAAUCCCUUUUUCUUCUUCUCCUGGACUGGUGUUCACGGGACCGUCCAUCCACCUGAGAGCCAAGCCGGGCUUCAUACAGUGCCUGUCUGUUGGUAGAUGCUGGGGAGACCCUUGGGAAAGCCAGGUCUCUUCCCACUGGGAUGCCAGCAUCGGUAGAGCAGGGCCUUGCUCGGCUGCACCCCGGGGCGCUCCUGUCCAGGAACUGCAGGUGAGCUGCCUGGGAUCCGUGUGUCCUCCAUUCACGGCUGCUUCCCUGCUGUGGACCUGAGUCCUCCCACCUGUACACGACGUGCACUGCUCAGCACAGGUGUUAGAAGACGUGUACAGGUGGGAGACAGGGCUCUUCUUUAGGUUCCUCCUGAAUUACCCGAAAAGACAUGGCUCUUCACAGUGGGCGUCUUAUUAUCCCGGCUGCUGGAAAGGCCACAGCCAUGGCUUGGCCCCACCUGUCAUGAGGGCCAGGUGUCAGCAGGUUGCAUAAUAUCAAGGCAGAUUCGACUUUAUUCUCCAAAUUGGGAGCUGACAGCUGGGGAAGUGGGCAGACAGGUAUGACCUACUGCAAAUCUGCUAACAUCCAGGGGGCAGUGAGCUUGGACAUGCUUUGUGGACGGUGAACAGAGCCUGGCGCUAACCACACUGAGAGCUUUGUUCCAAGACAACCGUGUGUUGCUAUUUUCACCAUCUCCUGGCCAGCAGUCCACUUACCCCUGCAAGGACAUGGUGAGCUGGGGGUGGGGGCUGGGGGCACCCCGGGCUCCAGGCUCCCUGCAGCAUCACUUAAAGCAAUCACAUUAAUGGGGAUUUCGUGUUAGCAGAGUGAAGGGCUGAUGUGAAACCACAGUGUCUGGGCAGGAAGCGGCCAAUUGCUAUCUGGGCACAAGCUCCCAUUUCAUUAAGUCUGCUGCUGUGAAGCCAAAUGAAAGCUUAUGAAGUUAAUUGAGUAAAACACUGAGAAACUGGCAUCUUAUCCUAAGGUUGCAGCGACUAGUGGGUCCUGCGGGAAUCACUAAGACAUUGUUUUGAAGGAAAUGAUUUACAAGGAUUUCGUUCAAUAUUUAAAAACAUAAAUGAAAGUUCUAGGGGCGUGUCUGGUCAUUCUGUGGCUGUUGUAGACCAAAAUAUGUCCUGAUAUGCUUUAAAAAUGCAUUUUCUUUGGUAUAUCACAGAAUAAUAAAAUCUCAGGGUUUUUUGGUUGUUGUUUUAAA